rnacentral:rRNA from 1 species
CCUACGGGCGGCAGCAGUGAGGAAUAUUGGUCAAUGGUCGGGAGACUGAACCAGCCAAGCCGCGUGAGGGAUGAAGGUACAGAGUAUCGUAAACCUCUUUUGUCAGGGAACAAAGGCGGGGACGUGUCCCCGGAUGAGUGGACCUGACGAAAAAGCAUCGGCUAACCCCGCGCCAGCAGCGGCGGUAAUACGGAGGAGGCGAUCGUUAUCCGGAUUUAUUGGGUUAAAAGGGUGCGCAGGCGGUCUGUUAAGUCAGUGGUCAAACCCCGGGGCUAAACCCCGCCCCGCCGUUGAAACUGGCAGUCUCGAGUUGGAGAGAAGUAUGCGGAAUGCGCGGUGUAGCGGUGAAAUGCAUAGAUAUCGCGCAGAACUCCGAUUGCGAAGGCAGCAUGCCGGCUCCACACUGACGCUGAGGCACGAAAGCGUGGGUAUCGAACAGGAUUAGAUACCCCAGUAGUC